AUGGGUCUAAAUUCAACUUAUGUGUUGAAAAUCAAAUUGCUUGGCAACAAAAAAAAGGCUAGAAGGGAUAUAAACUACUUUUGUUUUCAUAAGGUUAUUGAUUCCGACUUAACAAAUUAUAAGGACUUGGUUGAAUCAAUCGCAGAGCAGUACUGGCCUUGUUAUUUGGAAGUUGCACAUGUUCAGUACUAUGAUAAUUUUCUUAAAAUCUACCCUGAAGUAACAUCUGACCAAGAAUUAGUGUCUAUGCUUGAAAAACACUCUAAGACAAAGGUUGUGCACAUGUUUGUUGCAUAUCAUGAUCCAUCAGAACCAUACGAGCCUAUCACGGAGUGGCAUAGUGAUGUGCAUAGCCAACCUAACAACAUAGGACAAGAUGAUUAUUAUUAUCUUCGCAACCCAGUACCUGAGAAUGAGCAUGUUGGUGUUUAUGAGGAAAAUAUUUAUUUAGAGGAUGAACCUGUAUCUCUUAUCAUAAUUCCUUGUUCCAAUAAAGAAAAGGACAAAGACUAUGUUCCUAAUCAUGAGAGCGAGGCUGAGAGUGAGGAUGGGAGAGACGAUGAGAGUAUGGCAGAGGUUGAAGUAGAGGAAGAUGAGGAAUAUCACGAGGGAGAUCAUGCACCACACUUUGAAUAUGAUAAACUAGUUCCUCCAAUGAACGAAGGAAGAAACUAUCCCAAUAUGGCAGAGUUUAAAUUGGCGCUUUCUCAACAUGCAAUCAAACAUGAAUUUGAGUUUGACACCGAAAAGAGUGCACCAUGUAGAGGACCACCAAAAAAUAGGGCAAAGACCACCAAAGCAUCAAUUGUGCCUUGCGACGAUGAUGCUCCAAUAGCCUUUAUGUGCUUUCCGCCAAGGUUAGCCACUUUACACUCAUGCUCAUAA
rnacentral:rRNA from 1 species